rnacentral:rRNA from 1 species
CCUACGGGGGGCUGCAGUGAGGAAUAUUGGUCAAUGGACGAGAGUCUGAACCAGCCAAGUAGCGUGAAGGAUGACUGCCCUAUGGGUUGUAAACUUCUUUUAUAUGGGAAUAAUAUGUUCCACGUGUGGGAUUUUGUAUGUACCAUAUGAAUAAGGAUCGGCUAACUCCGUGCCAGCAGCCGCGGUAAUACGGAGGAUCCGAGCGUUAUCCGGAUUUAUUGGGUUUAAAGGGAGCGUAGGUGGAUUGUUAAGUCAGUUGUGAAAGUUUGCGGCUCAACCGUAAAAUUGCAGUUGAAACUGGCAGACGUGAGUACAGUAGAGGUAGGCGGAAUUCGUGGUGUAGCGGUGAAAUGCUUAGAUAUCACGAAGAACUCCGAUUGCGAAGGCAGUUCACUGGACUGCAACUGACGCUGAGGCACGAAAGUGUGGGUAUCAAACAGGAUUAGAUACCCCAGUAGUC